rnacentral:rRNA from 1 species
GCUUAACACAUGCAAGUCGAGGGGCAGCACAGGUAGCAAUACCGGGUGGCGACCGGCGCACGGGUGAGUAACGCGUAUGCAACUUACCUAUCAGAGGGGGAUAACCCGGCGAAAGUCGGACUAAUACCGCAUGAAGCAGGGGCCCCGCAUGGGGAUAUUUGCUAAAGAUUCAUCGCUGAUAGAUAGGCAUGCGUUCCAUUAGGCAGUUGGUGGGGUAACGGCCCACCAAACCGACGAUGGAUAGGGGUUCUGAGAGGAAGGUCCCCCACAUUGGUACUGAGACACGGACCAAACUCCUACGGGAGGCAGCAGUGAGGAAUAUUGGUCAAUGGCCGAGAGGCUGAACCAGCCAAGUCGCGUGAGGGAUGAAGGUUCUAUGGAUCGUAAACCUCUUUUAUAAGGGAAUAAAGUGCGGGACGUGUCCCGUUUUGUAUGUACCUUAUGAAUAAGGAUCGGCUAACUCCGUGCCAGCAGCCGCGGUAAUACGGAGGAUCCGAGCGUUAUCCGGAUUUAUUGGGUUUAAAGGGUGCGUAGGCGGCCUUUUAAGUCAGCGGUGAAAGUCUGUGGCUCAACCAUAGAAUUGCCGUUGAAACUGGGGGGCUUGAGUAUGUUUGAGGCAGGCGGAAUGCGUGGUGUAGCGGUGAAAUGCAUAGAUAUCACGCAGAACCCCGAUUGCGAAGGCAGCCUGCCAAGCCAUGACUGACGCUGAUGCACGAAAGCGUGGGGAUCAAACAGGAUUAGAUACCCUGGUAGUCCACGCAGUAAACGAUGAUCACUAGCUGUUUGCGAUACACUGUAAGCGGCACAGCGAAAGCGUUAAGUGAUCCACCUGGGGAGUACGCCGGCAACGGUGAAACUCAAAGGAAUUGACGGGGGCCCGCACAAGCGGAGGAACAUGUGGUUUAAUUCGAUGAUACGCGAGGAACCUUACCCGGGUUUGAACGCAUUCGGACCGAGGUGGAAACACCUUUUCUAGCAAUAGCCGUUUGCGAGGUGCUGCAUGGUUGUCGUCAGCUCGUGCCGUGAGGUGUCGGCUUAAGUGCCAUAACGAGCGCAACCCUUGCCACUAGUUACUAACAGGUAAAGCUGAGGACUCUGGUGGGACUGCCAGCGUAAGCUGCGAGGAAGGCGGGGAUGACGUCAAAUCAGCACGGCCCUUACAUCCGGGGCGACACACGUGUUACAAUGGCGUGGACAAAGGGAGGCCACCUGGUGACAGGGAGCGAAUCCCCAAACCACGUCUCAGUUCGGAUCGGAGUCUGCAACCCGACUCCGUGAAGCUGGAUUCGCUAGUAAUCGCGCAUCAGCCAUGGCGCGGUGAAUACGUUCCCGGGCCUUGUACACACCGCCCGUCAAGCCAUGGGAGCCGGGGGUACCUGAAGUCCGUAACCGGGAGGAUCGGCCUAGGGUAAAACUGGUGACUGGGGC